GACGAACGCUGGCGGCGUGCUUAACACAUGCAAGUCGAACGGAAAGGCCCUGCUUUUGUGGGGUGCCCGAGUGGCGAACGGGUGAGUAACACGUGAGUAACCUGCCCUGGACUUUGGGAUAACUUCAGGAAACUGGGGCUAAUACCGGAUAGGAGCUCCUGCUGCAUGGUGGGGGUUGGAAAGUUUCGGCGGUUGGGGAUGGACUCGCGGCUUAUCAGCUUGUUGGUGGGGUAGUGGCUUACCAAGGCUUUGACGGGUAGCCGGCCUGAGAGGGUGACCGGCCACAUUGGGACUGAGAUACGGCCCAGACUCCUACGGGAGGCAGCAGUGGGGAAUAUUGCACAAUGGGCGGAAGCCUGAUGCAGCAACGCCGCGUGCGGGAUGACGGCCUUCGGGUUGUAAACCGCUUUCGCCUGUGACGAAGCGUGAGUGACGGUAAUGGGUAAAGAAGCACCGGCUAACUACGUG
rnacentral:rRNA from 1 species